ACAGAGAUAGCUUUAAGUGAAAGCACUUGUGAAAGGGCGGGGCCUGUUGAAAGAGUUCAGUUGAGGGUGAAUUUACAGAGUUUCAGCUGGUUGGGAAGACUGGAAGACCACCUGGGCUGUCACUGAGCUCUGGUGCCAGGAGGAAUGGACAAGAUCUUAGGAGCAUCAUUUUUAAUUCUGUGGCUUCAACUAUGCUGGGUGAGUGGCCAACAGAAGGAGGAAAGUGACCGGCAGCAGGUGAAACAAAGUCCUCCAUCUUUGAUAGUCCAGAAAGGAGGGAUUUCAAUUAUAAACUGUGCUUAUGAGAACAGUGCAUUUGACUACUUUCCAUGGUACCGACAAUUCCCUGGGAAAGGCCCUGCAUUAUUGAUAGCCAUACGUUCAGCUGCGAGCGAAAAAGAAGAAGGAAGAUUCAAAAUCUUCUUCAAUAAAAGUGCCAAGAACUUCUCAUUGCAUAUCAUGGAUUCCCAGCCUGGAGACUCAGCCACCUACUUCUGUGCAGCAAGCACACAGUGCUCCCCAGGCACCUGA